CGUUAAGCGACGCAGGUUAAUUAUACCUAGGGUGGCGGUGAAGACAGGCUAGCGGCGCAGUGACGAGUCGGUGCAGUGGCGAGGCGACGCUGUGUCGAGGUGCUCCGAGUCCCCUUGACUGGUCCUACUCUGCAAAAACAAUAAAAACAACAAUAUAAGUAAAAAGUUUUGGCAGAACCUCUCCGGGAGGUUUCCAAAACCUGCAAAAAAGAAGUCACAUAUACGACACGAAUGCCACACAUCCAUAAGGCCAUCAACAUCACAUACGGCACAAUAGCCGACAUACUUACUACUACUAACUACGACUACUACUAACUAAUUACUACACUACUACUACUAAUACUGACUACUACUACUAACAAAACCAGAAAAAAUACCACUUACCGGCGAUGGACAACGACGACGACGACGAGAACGACCGCAGCACCACGACGGAGACGACCACACCCUCCUCCUCCUUCUCUUCCUUCUCCUCUUCCUUCUCCUCCUUCUCCUCUCCCCUUCUCUUCUGCCCUCUUUCUUCUUCCCUGC
rnacentral:lncRNA from 1 species